UCUUUGUCUGAGGAACCCAAACCAGCACUUCGGCUCAUUUUGCUGGGUGGUGAUUGUGCUGAUAACAGUUACGCAGCUGACGUUAUACUCAGGUCUGAUAAUAGGAAGGAAACAAGCAAUCCAAAGAAAGGCAACGUUAGAGACGGACAUGUUGAUGGAAGGCAGGUCUCUGUAUCUGUGGCUCCUUCCUACUGGAUGAACCACUUGGCCUCAUAUUGGUUUUUCUCAAACGGAGUCGAGUCUAUCAGAGACGAGGUUCAAAACUGUACAUCACUAACGUUUCCUGGCCCUCACGCCUUCCUGCUAGUGAUGCGAGCUGGACAUACUACUGGGAAAGAACAUCAUCUUUUAAAAGCGAUAACCUACAUGUUUGGAGCUGAGGCUUUAGAGUACACCAUGGUAUUAUUUGUGUAAGGACGUGAAUGGGAAAAUCCAAAGGAUGCCCUAAAGAACCGCUGUGUGAAGAUGUGUGGAGCACGAUAUUACUUUUUGGAGAACAGUGAUGACAAUGUCCAGGAGCUUUUCAGAAGAGUCGAGGGAAUGACACGGAGGAAAAAAAGCAGAUUUUUUAUUCAGCACUCAUACGAAAACCUCAUGAAGAUGUAUUUUGAACCCUGGGAAAGGGCUCGGGUGUACAAGGAAAACGAAUUAAAAAGAGAACUGGAAGAACUGAAGACAGAACAACGUCUGAGGGAGGACAUGUUAAAGACAGAACUUGAGACACUCAGAAAAACUGUGAGAGAUUUGAGGAAGAAGGUGGAAGCAUCCAGACAUCGCGAGAGUUUGUUACAGAAGGAUUUGGACAGAGUUUGGUGUAGUGAGAAACAAUUAAGAAAGGAGCUGUAUGAAUUACAAGGAAGUGAAGCAAAACACUUGAAUCCUGUACGGCGCAACAGCAAAGAGAUUGCACAACCACUCAUGCCAGAAAAUAAGAACAAGCCUCUAGAUGACCAUUAGAUGACCUGAAAGAAAUUUAAUUAAAUGAACUUUUUAUCCAGAAACGGCAGAACAGAGGUUUCAAACUGAUUCAGGGCUCUGCACCAGACAAAAAGCGACGUAAGAAUCUCCACCAACCAACCAUAAUAUGCAAUUUGACACAUAGCUUUUAACAUUAGGAAUGUUUUAGGAAUAUUGGAUAGGAAUGUUUCAGCACUAACCUGCCAGAUCUUUAAAUCCUCCAGACAUAGUGACCAUUCAUUCAAUCACGCAUUCUGCACAAGCUACCAUCAGGGAAACAUUGUUGAUAAGGAUAGCUGAUGUUGAUUAUGCUGCAUUCGACUUACCUCAGAAGUGGGAAAUUAGUGCUCAGAAUAAGGUCAUUUUCAA